rnacentral:rRNA from 1 species
CGACCCAGGAUGGGCGGGACGACCC